ACGAACGCUGGCGGCGUGCUUAACACAUGCAAGUCGAACGGAAAGGCUCCAGCUUGCUGGAGUACUCGAGUGGCGAACGGGUGAGUAACACGUGGGUAAUCUGCCCUGCACUCUGGGAUAAGCCUGGGAAACUGGGUCGAAUACCGGAUAUGACCUUUCUCCUUAUGGGGUUUGGUGGAAAGUUUUUCGGUGUAGGAUGAGCCCGCGGCCUAUCAGCUUGUUGGUGGGGUGGUGGCCUACCAAGGCGACGACGGGUAGCCGGCCUGAGAGGGUGAUCGGCCACAUUGGGACUGAGAUACGGCCCAGACUCCUACGGGAGGCAGCAGUGGGGAAUAUUGCACAAUGGGCGGAAGCCUGAUGCAGCGACGCCGCGUGAGGGAUGACGGCCUUCGGGUUGUAAACCUCUUUCAGCAGGGACGAAGCGUAAGUGACGGUACCUGCAGAAGAAGCACCGGCUAACUAUGUG
rnacentral:rRNA from 1 species